UAUUCUCAGGCAUCAGAGGUACAAGCUU
rnacentral:piRNA from 1 species